AACGAACGCUGGCGGCAGGCUUAACACAUGCAAGUCGAACGCACUCUUCGGAGUGAGUGGCAGACGGGUGAGUAACGCGUGGGAAUCUACCCAGCCCUUCGGAAUAGCUCCGGGAAACUGGAAUUAAUACCGAGUACGCCUACGGGGAAAGAUUUAUCGGGUUGGAUGAGCCCGCGUUGGAUUAGCUAGUUGGUGGGGUAAGUGGCCUACCAAGGCGACGAUCCAUAGCUGGUCUGAGAGGAUGAUCAGCCACACUGGGACUGAGACACGGCCCA
rnacentral:rRNA from 1 species